UUGAACAAUAUAUAUUUUCCAUCACACAAGAAAAAGGGGGACAUUCUCACGCACAGUGUUUUUUUUCCUUUUUUUCCAUUUUUUGAGCUCUUUCUUCUUCACGAAGGCACAACAAAAACUCCAUACAUGCACAGACCACACGGGAUUCUUCCAUUAAACACACAAAAUACACUGAUUCACACAAAAAACACAAAGACCCACCAUGAACGGAGAGAAAACCCUAUAGAGAGAGAGAUUUGAGCAUGAGAGAGGAGAGAAAACGCGCGCUAGAGAGGGAGUGAAACGUGGGAGCUGAAAAAGAAGAGAAAAAUCAGAGAGGAACAGUUAUUCCGGCGAAUUCUCACCGGAAUCGCCAAUCGGAGAACACCGCUAGUCAUCGUUGUUGUUGUUCCGGCCGAUUCUGGAUGGAGAACAUCAUCAACCAUCUGAAAUUCAUCGAGAUUUGGUCUGUUUCCGUCCAAUUUCAUUGAAAAUUUCAACAAUCUGUCAAAACCCUCUUUUCUUGUCACUAUUUCAAGCCUAUCAGAGUUUUCCACUCCGAUCGAAUCAUCGUCUAAAAUCGAUAAAAAAAUAAAAAGACUGUGUUGUUACCUUGUCGUCUUCAAACAGUUGAGGAGGCCGAGACUUAACGAGUUGACCGUGAAGGUGGAUGGAUUUGUUGAGGUUCCGUGGCUUUGUGAGUUCCGAUCCAUCUUGGUUGUUCGAAAUAAAAUCGUCAAAUUGAGAGGAAUUGUAUUUAUUCACCGGGGAAUGUCCCGACGUAUCAUGUACUCGAAGGAUGCCCAUGAUGAAGGCCCAAAGCAUUGGGUAAGGCAUUGGAGCGUAGUUUGGUGUAAGUUAGCGUAGUUUACUUUUCAGUACCUUUUUCAUUUUGGGUUGUAAUAAUUGGAUUGUAUACUAUAUUUUGGAAUUCGUUUG